rnacentral:tmRNA from 1 species
GGGGAUGCUUGGUUUCGACAGGUCGUACGUUUAAAAUAUGCAAGCCGAGCAUGAUGAUCACUCGCUAAAUAUUCAUCAAAGUUAUAAGUGCAAACUUCAUAACAAAAGCAAAAUCAGUAUUUGCGCAAGCAUUUACUUCAAAUUUUGCGGUUGCUGUCGCCUAAAUAUCGCCUAAACAGCUUUAUCGCGACAACCAUCGGACCGUCGACUUCUGAUAGGCGGAUCCCGGUGUCAUAAAUCAGGAUAGCCCUCCGGUUUUUUCUAAGCCGGAUCGGCGAAUCUCCAUUAGAAAUAGAUCUGGAAGGUUUUGUCCGCCUAUCACUUUCCAAUCGAAUCCAAUAGACGGACUAAGCUUGUAGAUUAUUUUAGAUGAAUGAUUUUGGACGCGAGUUCGAUUCUCGCCAUCUCCACGA